UUUGCCAAAGCCCAGUUGGUAGGGCAUGAGACCCUUAAUCUCAGGGUCAUGGGUUCAAGCCUCAUGUUGGGCAAAA